rnacentral:lncRNA from 1 species
GAACGGACCCCUCACUUCAACAAGCAGCGGCGCACUUCCCCCCUUCCUUCAUUCCCAUAGAAGAACGGAUCAUCUCCCCCUUACACUAGAACCCUAGCCGCUCCAUCUCUUACCUCACUCUCACAGACACUCUCUUUCCUCCGCUUACACAUACAGAAGGCAGAGAAAUUUGCUCACCUUCCUCUCACAUGGCUCUCAUCUAAACAGAAGAAAAUAGCUUGAAACACAGAUUUCAAAGAGUUAUUGGUUUUUGCUGAGUUGGCUAUUCAAUUCCUGGGUUUUCAAAGUGAAAUAGAGCUCUUAAGGGACUGUUUUCAUGGUUGUUUAUUUGCUGGGAAUGCAGCUAUGCUUCCUUCUUCUUUUAUCACUGCAUUUUUUUUGUUUAUGCUCUCCGAGGUACUGUUCAAUUCCCCAAUAGUGUUAUUCUGUUUUGAAUUAAUGAAAUACAUGAUAUAAUUGUAAUUGUCUGCGGUUUUGUGUGGAAUUGAAAGUGCUUUGUGUUAUUUUGUAUUUAACGUCCUAUAAGCAGGUAGAAUUUGUCUUUCAAAUCUCAAUUCAUGAAACAUGAAGUAGUUGUCGAUUAUGUGUUUGAUUAAAUCAAGUGUACUGGAUUUGGAGUUGAUUUGCAGUUUCCGAAGUUCUAAUAUUUGUUAGAGAAAGGACUCAUUAAUGUUUGCUUCAAAUCAGUGAUCGAAAUGCUGUUGGCCUAAUUUGAGUAAUACAGCUUUGAUUCUAUUUUAAUUCAUUGCUUGAAAAUCCUGUUUUGAUCGCUCAGUUCAUUGGCUUUCAGUCCUUGUUAACACUGAAUUGGGCAUAUUGUUUGGCUUAGAUCUGCCUAGCUUUACUCUUCUGUGAUGUUGAUUGUUGAGUGUAGCUGGGUAUUAGUAGCACUCAUUGGACAAUGAACAUCCUGAUAAAUAGAUUAAACUUGUAUGAGAAAGCUCAAAGAUCGCUGUAAAUUGUUAGAGUAUCAUUUGCACAACUUGGAUUGGUUUAUAAACUCUCAUGUCAUUGAAUUGUAAUUAGAUAUACACUUGGAUGAUUUGGUAAGACCAUUGUGAAUAUGUAUGAAUUGACCCUCGUGAUAAUCUAUGAAUUCAAUAUUCUACUAAAAUUAGAAUUCAAAUGGGCCUUGAACACGAAUGUCUCCUACACCUGCCCAUCCCGUUUUAGUAAUUCUCAGAAUUAACCCAAUUCACGUGAGUUUUUAGAUAUAGGCUAAUAAGAUGUAACAAUUGUAUAAUUUUGUGAAAGUAGGAAGCUUGCCUAACUUAGUUGAAUUGUGUGGAUGUAAAUUCUUUCCACGAUCAUUUAAUCCUAAACCAUAGGAAGUAAUUAAACAAAUUAUGAACAAACGUUAGUUGCUUUAGGCGCGAUUAAUAAUAACUCAUCGUGACUAUGAGUACGGUUCUCGUGGCAUAGUCAUGAUAAAUAAUUUUUCAAUCCGAGUGUGCGUUUCACGUGACUCGACUCCAACUUCAAAUAAUAAUAAAAAUUUACAUGUUAUAAAUUGCGGGUGCGUUUCACGUGGCGCGAUUCGCAAUGUGUACAAAAACAAACGAGCGCGCGAUAUCGCGACUUGUUCAAACAAAAUUCCAUAAAUUUCAAAAGCGAUUAAAAGAUAAAAAUGCACAAUAGGUUUCAAAUAUGUAUAAAUCAGAUAAUUAGGCCAAUUAUUACUAGUUAAGCGACCAUGCUAAAACUACGAAACUCGGGAGUGCCUCAUACCUUCUCCCGGAUUAACAGAAUUCAUUACCCGGUCUUUUGUGUUCGUAGACCCAAAAAAAUAGAGUCAAAUUUCCUCGAUUUGGGAUUUAAAAUAAACCGGUGACUUGGGACACCACAACUUAUUCCAAGUGGCGACUCUGAAUAAAUAAAUAAUCUCAUUUCGAUUAAUGUCACUUAAAUUGAAAAAAUCCCCUAAUCCCCCCUUCGGAAAAAAGGAGGUGUGACAGGCAGCAUUAUUGGUGGCGACGAAUGAAAAAGGACAUAGUUGAGUAUGU